GACGAACGCUGGCGGCGUGCUUAACACAUGCCAGUCGAACGGAAAGGCCCUGCUUUUGUGGGGUGCUCGAGUGGCGAACGGGUGAGUAACACGUGAGUAACCUGCCCUUGACUUUGGGAUAACUUCAGGAAACUGGGGCUAAUACCGUAUAGGAGCUCCUGCUGCAUGGUGGGGGUGGGAAAGUUUCGGCGGUUGGGGAUGGACUCGCGGCUUAUCAGCUUGUUGGUGGGGUAGUGGCUUACCAAGGCUUUGACGGGUAGCCGGCCUGUGAGGGUGACCGGCCACAUUGGGACUGAGAUACGGACCAGACUCCUACGGGAGGCAGCAGUGGGGAAUAUUGCACAAUGGGCGGAAGCCUGAUGCAGCAACGCCGCGUGCGGGAUGACGGCCUUCGGGUUGUGAACCGCUUUCGCCUGUGACGAAGCGUGAGUGACGGUAAUGGGUAAAGAAGCACCGGCUAACUACGUG
rnacentral:rRNA from 1 species